AUGAGAGGAGCUGACACUUCCCCCUCUGUGACCACUUUCUCUUUGGCCAUGGAGGAAGUCUUGCUGCCCCUGGCUGUGACAUCUGACCCCAGGCCCUUUAAUCAACAACUCCCAGAGCCUCCAGACCCAAAAUGUGUUUUGGAACCCCAGGACAAUCCUGAACUGGCACCUGCCCUGGUGUGUGCCCUUUGCUGCUGCUUUGGAAUCAUCUACUGCUGCUUCAUGAUGUUUCUCUCCGGUCAGCUGUCAGGAGCGCUGUUGAGCUUCCUACUGUGCCACAAGGUGCGGGUGCUGGAGACACAGCUGAGCCUAGAAAUGAGAGUGGGCAUCGCCGUGGUCAUCAUGAUUCCUCUGCGGCGUGGUCACCGUGUUGGUUCACUGUGUUGGGCUCUUAUUGACUGGUCUCCUGCUAGGCCUGACCUUGGGUGCCAGAGCCCUGCUGGCUUCCGAGCCUAUCUACCAACCACCUUCAGCCUAGGUGCCAGCUGGGGGGCUGGUGGGGCUGGCGCUGCUGGGAUCCCUGCUCACGCUUUGGUGGCCACGUCCAUUCACAGUUCUGGGCACAGCCCUGCUGGGUUCUGCAGUGCUUGUGGCCUGUGUUGACUACUUCCUGGAGGGGCUGGCACUGGGCAGUCAGCUGGGCCAACGCCUGCAGACACUUCCAGCCUUGCCUUCUCACUGCUGAUAUAGCUGGGUCUUACUGGGGAUCUGGCCAGCCUUGGGGGCCCUUGGGGCCCUGGCCCAGUGGAAGCUCGUGCCUGAGGAACAUGGAGGCCACGCUAAUGUAGUCUUAAGCCACCAGCAAAGCCAUCUCCAACUCCUUCAGACCCUUCAGCAAAAGGCCAAAUGGCACUGGAUCCCCUCUGGGGUGGGGCUUUGUGAGGGCAGCUGUCGGCACCAGCUCCCUGCCAGUAUCUGCAGCCCUGCUGACAGUCUCGCUCCAAGUUACUUCCAGAGUCUUCAAGAGUGCCAACUGGGACCAGGACCCCAGGCCACAGCCCCCCACACCGUCCUGGACCUGGAUUCUGACUGUGGUUCCACUGUACCCCUCACCUUAAUCUCUGGUUCUAACCAGACCUGAGCCUAGACUUCCACUUUUUCCCUCACCCCUGUGAGGGCCUGGGAACACUAGGUGGGCAGGGUUUGAGCCCAUAGGACCUGCACACAAACUUCCCCACCUCUUGGACUUGGGGACAGGAUCUGUGCCUCAACCCAGACCAGCCUUGUAGGGAUAUGUUCCAAGAACAGAGAAGAGUCUUAUGGGGAAGGGGGAGGAAGGGAAGUAUGAAUAUUUACCUCUGACCAAUAAUAGAGGUGCCCUGGUCCCCAAAGAAACUGACUCCCGAAUUCCCUCCAAGCCUUACCCAUAUAGCUUUUUUUUUUUUUUUUGAGGCAAGGUCUUGUUGUGUCCAGUGCCAUGGCAUGAUCACAGCUCAUGACAACUUUGAUUUCCCCGGCCCAAGCGAGCCUCUCAUUCAGCCUCCUGAGUGGCUGGGAUCACAGACGCCACACACAGCUAAUUUUUAUUUAUUCGUUUUUAUUUUUUUGCAGAGACAAGGUCUCCCUACGUUGCCCAAGCUGGUCUUGAACUCCUGGGCUCAAGUGAUCCUCCUGCUUCAGCCUCCCAAAGUGCUAGGAUUACAGCCACCUCACCUGGUCUUGAAAUAGCCUUUUAAAUAUCCACCUCAGCGUGCCUCACAGUGGUAAAAAUAAGCGUUUUUUUGUUUUGUAGGAUCAGGGAGCUUCCAAGGCAUUUGAUAGCUUUUUGAUGGGAAGAAGGGCUCUGAGGAGCUCCAAGAUACCCCAACCUCCAGGCCCUUCAUUAGAGGGUAGUUGGGUUUCUGUUUGGCCUUUCCCCCUGGGCCCCAUAGGCUUAAACUACCCCCACCCACCCCCCAGCCUCCUACCUCAGCUGGGAGCACUAUCUUCCAUGGUGCUUCCACUUCUCUCCUCAACCUGGGGAAGACCACAGGGCAGUGCCUGCCUCAGGACCUGCCUUCCCCAAAAGCUGGCUUCUUGCUCCAAGGAGAGAGCAUUGGCCCGCCUGCCAGAGUCUUGCCUUUUGCCCAAAGGAGCCUGGUCUUCAGGGCUGCAUAGGAGACAAGUGCCUUCUCUGCUUCUCACUGUGGGUGGCACUAAUUUCCUCCUUAACCAGAACUUUGUUCCAGCCACUAACCCAUUCUAACUCUUCCCCCUCUGACUCUCCUGCCCAAGGUCUGUUUCUGGUUUCCCAGAUGCAUAAAGGAAGACAUAUCCCUUCCCUGGGCAGCAAGGCUACAAUGGGAGGGAGGGAGAACAUGUGAAUAAAAUGGCAUUAA